GAAAGGAGGGAGAGGAGAGAGGGAAGAGAGAGAGGAGGGAGGGGGCAGUGAGUACAAGAAUGACAUCACCUCUCCAGAAAUGUCACCAUUAUCUCAAGCCCGAGCGUUAGCCGUCCACAAGAGCCCCUGGCAGCUGCUGCUAUAGUAACCCAAUGAGACAUGCCAGCCGUGCCAUCACCGGGCCCAGUGCAAGUCCCAACACUCCCUCGGAUAAACCCAGUGCUGAUGACAGCCCACGCCUCAGAUGCCAAGUGCAACCCGAGCCACUAGACCGCUACGGUGACAGAGCAGUAACUCCGGGACCCCAGCUGGGUCUCACCUCUAUUGUAAUGCAGGCUGGGUCUAUAAUCCACCCCAGGCUGGACCUCUUCACACCUCACUGGACACUCAGACCUCCUGCUGUUUGGGCACGGUUUUAUGGACCUCAUCUAUUAC